UCCACGGUCGGUCAAAACCCGCUCUCCUUCACCCCCGCACGCUCAACCCCCUACCCCCUCCUCUAUCUCUCUGUGAGGAACUUUCCCUCUUUGUCUUGACCAUGGGAACGUACGUGACGCCCUUUUUGCUUGCAUUUCUUGGAAUGCAGCUUCCUCUACUAAUAAUGGCAGAUUGCCCCUUAAAUUUGAGUGGAUCUAAUUUCACUGUAGUGGCCUCAGUCUGCUCAAAUGAAGAUGACAGGGGAAAGUGUUGUCGCUACAUCAAUGCUUUUGUCUCAGUUUCUAUUGCACGCUAUGCAAAUGCCACGGGCAACCUAGGGGUUACUACAAAUUUAUCUGAAAUCUGCAAGCACUCCAUAUCUGAAACCUUGGGACUGUAUGGUGUUCCACGAAAUGCAACAGCAUUUUGUGGGUUUGGAACAAAAAUCCCAGUUAAUUAUGAGUGUAAGGGUCGGAAAACUGUCAACCAGAUGCUGCAGUCUCCAAAAUUUGUGGAUGUCAAUGAAAAUUGCAAAAUGCCACUUUCAGAUGAAACUAAUUGCAGGAAAUGUUUAAAUGCUGGCAUCAUGUAUCUUCAUCAUCUGGUAGGAGCAGAAGAUAAUAUGACGCUGAGUACAUGCCGCGAUGCAAUUUUUGCUGCAAUUGGAAGCCAAGUUGAUGGCAUUUCAGUGGUUGAAAUUGCAAGCUGUUUCUUUGGAGUUCAAGGUCUUGGCAUGCUUCCAGAGCCAUCCCCGUCUCCACUCACGCCUGACACUUCUCCUAGUCCAUUGGUUGCUGUAAGCCCAAGCCAACUAAUGUUGGGCAUACCCAUAACCAAAAAGCACCGCCCCUAUCACCUGACAUUAAUUCCAGGUGUUGGACUUGCAAUUACAGCAGUUGCUGUUAUGAUUAUGGUUGUCUUGGUAUUUCUUAUUCGUAGCAAGAAUAGAGAGCUGGAGGAUUCUAAAAGUAUAGAUAAGACAUUUUCAAAGUCUUUUCCUCCUUCUUGGCCUAUGUGGAAAUUUCCAGAAGGUGUAGGUCCUUUGUCCAUGUUCCGGAAAUUCAGCUAUAAGGAGAUAAAGAAGGCAACGGACAGUUUCAACACUAUCAUUGGGCAAGGAGGAUUUGGAACAGUGUACAAGGCUCAAUUUAGUGAUGGCUUAGAGGCAGCAGUAAAACGCAUGGACAAAGUUUCAGAGCAGGGGGAGGAUGACUUCUGCAGAGAGAUUGAGCUUCUCGCUAGACUGCAUCAUCGUCAUCUUGUUUCUCUUAGGGGCUUUUGCAUAACAAAACAUGAGAGGUUUCUCAUGUACGAGUAUAUGGCAAAUGGAAGCUUAAAGGAUCAUCUUCAUGCCCCUGGAAGAACCCCUCUCAACUGGCGGACUAGAGUGCAGAUUGCAAUAGACGUUGCUAAUGCUCUGGAGUACCUCCAUUUUUACUGUGAUCCUCCUCUAUGCCACAGAGAUAUUAAGUCCAGCAACAUUUUAUUGGAUGAGAACUUUGUAGCUAAGGUUGCAGAUUUUGGCCUUGCACAUGCUUCAAAAGAUGGUUCUAUUUGCUUUGAACCAGUAAAUACUGAUAUCCGGGGAACUCCAGGUUAUAUGGAUCCUGAAUAUGUUGUCACUCAAGAACUCACUGAGAAAAGCGAUGUUUACAGCUACGGUGUGUUACUCUUGGAGAUAGUGACUGCUAGACGAGCAAUACAGGACAACAAGAAUCUAGUGGAAUGGUCCCAAAAAUACGUGACAUCAGAAUCAAGUUUACCUGAGCUUGUGGAUCCUAGUAUCAGGGAUUCUUUUGACCUGGACCAACUUCAAACAGUAGUCUCUAUUGUGAGAUGGUGUACCCAGAAAGAAGGUCACACUAGGCCGUCAAUUAAACAGGUUCUUAGGCUUCUGUACGAGAGCUCUGAACCAAUGCAAAAUGGGCUUUUAGAAGCACUCGAAGAUGAAGAGUAUGUAGGAAUGGAAAGGAGAGGAAGGACAAGCAAGGGCAAAAUACAGAGGCACGAGGCAAUUUUUCACAGUGGAGAUGGAAGAUAUCUUGCUUCUUCCUCAAGUACCUCUAGGUCAUAUUGCAGUAGGAGCUUUUUACUUGAAACUGGCUCUCCUCAGUCGCCGCACAAUAUACUUUCUGUUUGAUAUCUAUAAUCUGGGUAGAGGCAGUCCCACAUGCAUUGGAUAAGUGGUGCUUGAAUUAGGUUGAACGAAUGCUCAGUUUCCAUCCGCACGAAGUAAAAGUUUCAUCUUUUGGAGACAUGUCAGAGACAUCAAGAUUAUAACUGGAUUUAGUUAAAGUUUAAAGGACAAGUUUGCAACUUGGAUGUUCCUUGAAAAUGACUUCAGUAUGCAGCAGCGGAGAAAAAACAGAUUUGGUUUUCCUUGUAAAAAAUGCUUGCUCAUCUGACUUACUUUAUAUAUAAAGAUCUAAUAAGGAGCAAUGCAUAGUUAGUUUCCGUUCAAGCCUGUCAUUGUAAGCGUAUAUAUAUAUAUAUGUAUUGUAUGUGUUCUUGUAUGAUUAAAAUAUACUUUCAGCUAAGG